rnacentral:rRNA from 1 species
UACGUAGGGACCAAGCGUUGUUCGGAUUUACUGGGCGUAAAGGGCGCGUAGGCGGCGUGACAAGUCACUUGUGAAAUCUCCGGGCUUAACCCGGAACUGCCAAGUGAUACUGUCGUGCUAGAGUGCGGAAGGGGCAAUCGGAAUUCUCGGUGUAGCGGUGAAAUGCGUAGAUAUCAGGAGGAACACCGGUGGCGAAGGCGGGAUCCUGGGCCAGUACUGACGCUGAGGAGCGAAAGCGUGGGGAGCAAACAGG